rnacentral:rRNA from 1 species
CCCACUGCUAUCGGGAUAGGACUAAGACAUGCUAGUCAAGCGCUCUUUAGCUAUGAAAAGAGUGCGGCGCACAGCUCAGUAACACGUGGCUAACCUGCCCUUGGGACAGAGACAACCCCGGGAAACUGGGGCUAAUCCCUGAUAGGUGAAGAACUCUGGAAUGAGUCUCCGCCCAAAAGGCGCUUACAUCAUGCUUGUAGGCGUUGCCCAAGGAUGGGGCCGCGACCGAUCAGGUUGUUGGUUGAGGUAACGGCUCACCAAGCCAUUGACCGGUACGGGCCGUGAGAGCGGGAGCCCGGAGAUGGGCACUGAGACAAGGGCCCAGGCCCUACGGGGCGCAGCAGUCGCGCAAACUUUGCAAUACACGAAAGUGUGACAGGGCUAUCCCGAGUGCCGCCCGCUGAGGGUGGCUUUUACUCAGUAUAACAAGCUGGGAGAAUAAGGAGAGGGCAAGACUGGUGUCAGCCGCCGCGGUAAUACCAGCUCUCCGAGUGGUGUGGACGUUUAUUGGGCCUAAAGCAUCCGUAGCUUGCUGAAGAAGUCCUCUGUUAAACCCAACGAAUUAAUCGUUGGAGUGCGGGGGAUACUGCUCGGUUUGGAGGCGAUAGAGGCAGACGGUAUUUCCGGGGUAGGAGUGAAAUCCUAUAAUCCCGGGAAGACCACCAGUGGCGAAGGCUGUUUGCUAGAACGCGCUCGACGGUGAGGGAUGAAAGCUGGGGUAGCGAACCGGAUUAGAUACCCGGGUAGUCCCAGCUGUAAACGAUGCAGGCUAGGUGUUUGGGCGGCUACGUGCCGCUCUAGUGCCGCAGGGAAGCCGUUAAGCCUGCCGCCUGGGGAGUACGAUCGCAAGGUUGAAACUUAAAGGAAUUGGCGGGGGAGCACCACAAGGGGUGAAGCUUGCGGUUUAAUUGGAUUCAACGCCGGA